GUUUCAGCCGCCGCGGUAAUACGGAGGGUGCAAACGUUGUUCGGAAUUACUGGGCGUAAAGCGCGUGUAGGCGGCUUGGCAAGUCAGAUGUGAAAUCCCUCGGCUCAACCGAGGAAGUGCAUUUGAAACUGCCAGGAUAGAGUACGGGAGAGGGUUGUGGAAUUCCCGGUGUAGAGGUGAAAUUCGUAGAUAUCGGGAGGAACAUCGGUGGCGAAGGCGGCAACCUGGACCGAUACUGACGCUGAGACGCGAAAGCGUGGGGAGCAAACAGGAUUAGAAACCCGAGUAGUCC
rnacentral:rRNA from 1 species